rnacentral:rRNA from 1 species
UACGUAGGGGGCUAGCGUUGUCCGGAAUCAUUGGGCGUAAAGCGCGUGUAGGCGGUCCGGUAAGUCCGCUGUGAAAGUCGGGGGCUCAACCCUCGGAUGCCGGUGGAUACUGUCGGGCUUGAGUACGGAAGAGGCGAGUGGAAUUCCUGGUGUAGCGGUGAAAUGCGCAGAUAUCAGGAGGAACGCCAAUUGCGAAGGCAGCUCGCUGGGACGUUACUGACGCUGAGGAGCGAAAGCGUGGGGAGCGAACAGG